rnacentral:tRNA from 1 species
GGGGUUAUAGCUCAGUGGUGGAGCAUGCGCUUGGCAAGCACAAGGCCCUGGGUUCAAUCCCCAGUGCCUCUG